rnacentral:rRNA from 1 species
GUUGUCGGGAUUAUUGGGCGUAAGGGCUCGCAGGCGGUUUCUUAAGUCUGAUGUGAAAGCCCCCGGCUCAACCGGGGAGGGUCAUUGGAAACUGGGGAACUUGAGUGCAGAAGAGGAGAGUGGAAUUCCACGUGUAGCGGUGAAAUGCGUAGAGAUGUGGAGGAACACCAGUGGCGAAGGCGACUCUCUGGUCUGUAACUGACGCUGAGGAGCGAAAGCGUGGGGAGCGAACAGGAUUAGAUACCCUGGUAGUCCACGCCGUAAACGAUGAGUGCUAAGUGUUAGGGGGUUUCCGCCCCUUAGUGCUGCAGCUAACGCAUUAAGCACUCCGCCUGGGGAGUACGGUCGCAAGACUGAAACUCAAAGGAAUUGACGG